CAAAUUAACUGCGGGGAGAUAACGUGAUCAUGAAAAUGGUUUUCCUAGGGCGUGGCUUAUCCCUUGCACUUAGGAUAUGGUGACCCCUCUGAUUUCCCCAAUACAGAAACUUGACUGCAUAAUUUGUAGUGGUGCUAGACCAUGUUCAUGCUCUCCCA